GGGCCGCACGCGCGCUACACUGACGGAGCCAGCGAGUAUUAACCUUGGCCGAGAGGUCUGGGAAAUCUUGUGAAACUCCGUCGUGCUGGGGAUAGAGCAUUGUAAUUAUUGCUCUUCAACGAGGAAUUCCUAGUAAGCGCAAGUCAUCAGCUUGCGUUGAUUACGUCCC
rnacentral:rRNA from 9 species